UUUUUUUUUUUUUUUUUUAAUCUUAAAUUUCUCAGUGUAAGUAUGCUUUAGUUGACAUCUUUUGGUGUUUUUUGUUUUGUGAACAUCUAAAUAUCUUCCAGUAGGGAGAGAUACCUUUUGAUAGUUAUGCUUUGUAAGGAUAGAGUGCUUUGUAGGAUGCGCCUUGUAGAAAGUUUAGAAGAUGUGUGUACAUAUAUGCAUAUAAGCCUAUAUAUGCUUGGUUUUAUUUACAUAACCUUAUUAUCUUACCCAUUAUCUUACACUUUUGUUUCAUAAGUCCCUUAGAUGUAAUUCUUAGGAUUUGUGAACUCUUACUUUGCUUACUUUCUGACCAAUCAACUACAUAAACGUAGUCCUUAUUUUAUAUAAUGUUUCAUAUUACUAGUGUCUUGAGCCUGAAAUCUCUUUUGGAAAAAAAUGGGAGCUAAUUCUUCCAUGCUUGCUUUUCUCCCUACCUAAUAGCGCAGUUGCUUUGAUCAAGUUCACCUUCUUGUCAGAGUGGCCCAUGAUGCAAACGCGUCUUUGCUCCUAAUUUGUAGAAGGCAUGGAAACAGCUGCAGCAGUUGGUUAAACUUCUCAGAGUUUAACUAGCUUGAAAGGAAGCACAUCAUGGCAUCAUACUUUUAAGUCUGUUUUAGUUUUCUGGCACUUGACUGAAAAAAAAAAAAUAAAAAUGUUCAAAGUAGAGUUGUGUUUGUUGUUUUCCAGUAAAAGAGUAAACGUUUUUAUCUUCCAUGCAAUACAGUGAUUUUUAUUUAAAUUAAAAGAUCCUUUCUUUGUAAAAUUAGGAACAUGAUUUAGCGUUUCCUUCAUUUCAAAUGCCUUUCUCUCAUUGUCACAGCAAAAGCCAAUCUCAAAUCCUUUCUAUCAGUAUAAACAUGUAAGAUACAAGUUACAGGUAUUCCUACUUAUGAAUGGAUAUGCAAGGAUUUCCAGUGUAAGUGGAGUAAAGCACAGUCGAUAAACUACCUUAUGAUAGUAUAGUGUUUUAGCAAAAUGACCGAUGCAUCAAGCAGUACAGUAUUCCCUGGCACUGAGAUGUUGUUGGAUUUUAAUGACAUUAUGGGUAAAGCAGUUCAGUUUGGCAGUUUAGCAUGUCUUCUUAUCUAGUGUUUUUUAAAGCUGUUUCUUAUCCUUGCCUUGACUGCACUUCUCAUCUCUGAGCUGAACAGGCAAUUUAAACCAAAAUCUGUUGCUGUACAUGUUUGCCUCUCUUCAUGAGACCAGAUUCCAUGGUGUCUGUAGAUUAUUUCCAAAAGAAACAUCUCAUCAACUCUCUCAUUACAAACCAGAAAAAUAAAGUAUAUUCCUGAAUGUACUGACAUUUUUUUUUUUGUCCCCUUCAUAUUGAGAUGUACCUAAAUCCACUAGGUGUUUAUUUUUGAUUCAAUAUUAAGAUAAUCUCUACAAUAUCCUGUGUAUCCGUACAAUAUAACCUCUGGAGUAUCUUGCUCUCAUAAUUGUAGUUAUUUGCAGAAACAGAAGAGCUGAAAAAUGUGCAGUGUUAUACGUUAUUCCUUUUAAUAAACCAUCCCUAACAAUCUGAA
rnacentral:lncRNA from 1 species